GACGUAGGGCGCGAGCGUUUGUCCGGAUUUAUUGGGCGUAAAGAGCUCGUAGGCGGCUCGUCGCGUCGACUGUGAAAAUCCCUCGGCUUAACCGGGGAACUGCGUCCGAUACUGGUUGGCUUGAGUUUGGGAGAGGGAUGCGGAAUUCCAGGUGUAGCGGUGAAAUGCGUAGAUAUCUGGAGGAACACCGGUGGCGAAGGCGGCAUCCUGGACCAAUACUGACGCUGAGGAGCGAAAGCCAGGGGAGCAAACGGG
rnacentral:rRNA from 1 species